AUGCGAAUUCUCGUCCUCUGGAUUGUGAGUGGAACUUGUCUGAUAGACUCGAGUCAUGGAGAUUCUGUCACUCAGACGGUGUCCUCAGAAGUGAAGACAGAAGGAGAGGAUGUGACCUUCAGCUGCAGCUAUCAUACUACAAUGAGUAGCUACUAUUUAUAUUGGUACCGGCAACGGUCAGACUCAAGACCUGAGUUCAUACUCUGGAAACAUACAGGUGGAACUGAAGGUAAAGCAGCUUUUGCCAAAAAUCGCUUCACUGUCCAUCUCCGGAAGGAAAGAAAAUUCACCAGUUUGACCAUCUCAUGGCUGCAGCUGAGCGACUCUGCAGUUUAUUACUGCGCCUUAAGCCGCACAAAAGGUAGCAAGAAAAUCUACUUCAGUAUCACCGGGGCUCUUGUGUCGCUCUUUCAGGGUAUCUUUGCGGAUGUGGUCACACGGUUGCAGGGUAAAAGUCACUCAGAGCGCGCUCGCCAGGGGCGCACAUACCCGGGAGGACAUGACAUCAAUUCAGAGUUUUACUUACUGUCCUGCUGA